CAAACUCUUACCAGUAGGUUGAGACUCUUAUUCAUGCCUCUUUAUACAGAUUUUCUGGUCUUCUUAAAGUGGUCCUACCACCAUCUUGGUCAAAAGCAAGUCACAAAGCUCUCCCAGUUAGAAGGGGAAGGGAAAUGGACUCCACCUCUUAAAGGGUGGAGCAGCAUGCUUGUAGAAAGGGAGAGGAAUUAUGGAACCAUCUUUGGAGACCAUCUAGCACAAGAAUAUUCUUAAAUAAUUUUCAGAAUGUUAAUUUUGUUUCUCAAUUAGAUUAUAUCACCUAGAAUCCCGAGAUAAUGUAUUUUCUCUAUCUUUUAUGCUUCCACAAAUUGCUCUGGUAACAGCACGCACUUAACAAACAGAUAUUGCUAAGCUGAUAUUAAUGCAAUAGGUCCAAGUUUGAGCAAGUGUGGGGAGAGUAAUUGACUUUUUCACUUGGAGAGAAUCCACAAAAGAGGACAAAGAGAUGGAAAUUUACUUAGAGAACUAUGAGUUUCCAUGAUUUAUCUUGACUUCCAGGGAAUGAUACACACCUUUAAGUUUUCCUUCCUUCCUCCCUUCCCUAAUUUCUUUAUUCUUAUGCCAUCCUAGGUAACCUUAAAUGAUCUCCAGUUUCAGAGGAGAAACGAGGGGAAGUGCUUGAGAUGCUGUGCCACCUCCAUGCGUGUUGCCAUGGUGACAGGAGGAACUGGUUCCUAAGGCCCCAGCCUGCAGACUUACAGAAGGUAAGGAACAAAUCUCAAGGCAAGGAAGGAGCAGCUCCGGGAAGGAAAGAGACAGGUAAGGAGCAACUGGGUAGUCUAACAAGACAAGAGCCGGAGAAGGACUCCCAGACCCAACAGUUGUAGUCAUUUAACACAAAGGUCAAAAGGUCCCAGAUUACAUGUAUGUUCUUUUUGUUUUUCAGAUUUUAUUUAUUUAUUUGAGAGAGAGAAAGAGAGCACAUGUGCAUGAGUGAGGGGGAGGGGCAGAGGGAGAAGCAGACUCCUUGCUGAGUGGGGAUCCUGAUGCAGAACUUGAACCCAGAUCAAGGACCCCUAGAUCAUGACCUGAGCUGAAGGCAGAUGUGUAACUGACUGAGCCACUCAGAUGUCCCUACCUGUAUGUUCUUGAUAAUCCCCGAGUCAUCAGAAAAGACUGUUUGCCGCUCUGUGGUUUUCUGUUUGAAAAGGUAUGAAGGGCAUAACAUGUUUUAGAGAGUUCCUACCAUUUUAAUUUUUCAAAAGAUCUUACUUAUUUAUGUGAGAGACAGAGAGUGAGUGAGUCUAAGCAGGGGCAGGGGCAGAGGGAGAGGGACAAGCAGACUCCUCACUGGGCAGGGAGCCCAAUGCAGGGAUCAUGACCUGGGCCUAAAGCAGGUGCUUAACCAAUUGAGCCACCCAGGGGCCCCCCUACCAUUUUAAUUUUUAAAAACAAGUUUUGGUUGUAGAAAUGAUAAAUUUCACUAACUGGAAAAGCUCUCCACCAAGAUCAUUUUCCUGAAGAUAAUGGAUAGCCCAGAAAUGCUUUUAUAUUGAUUUAGAUGUAGUGGUGUCUGAGAACUUUUUCAGUUUACCACUAAAUGAGGCAGCCUGUGUGUUUUGAUUUUUUUCUGCUUCAGUUUAGCCACAAGAUGGUUUUCGGUGUUGGUGGUAAAGGAGAGAGGGACCUGCCUACAGGAUAGUGAAGCCUGAAGAGGCUGGUCUCAAAGGAGAGGCAUUUUGAGCAUUUAUUCUAGGUGAAAUAUUUUAUGUGGUAAGUAGAUGCUCUCUGGGGUCUCUCUUGACUCAAAGGAUCUAUAACUGCAAGCUUUGUUUCUUUUUUCUUUUUUUUAAUUGCCAUUUAGUUUUAAGUGGUAUCCCAUGGAAUAAAUCUAUUUCUUUAAGUCCUGCUUUUGAGUAGGCAUAUGAUACCAUGGCAUUCUUUAAAAGUUUCAGCCAUUUCAGCCAUAAAUAAUGGCCUAUCUUUACAAGAAUGCCUGGGUCAGCCUGGGUUGUGGCCUAGAGAUGUGUACCACAGUAUCUGCUUCCCUUCCAUGGCAGAGAGUCUUGUCCUAGAAAAUGAUAGUCCAAGAUAGGUCCCAGCUCCUCUAGCAUCUAAGAAUAACCAUAUCAUUAAUUUUCAUCAAUGGAGCAUAAACAGAAGUGGGUGUAUCUUUUCUAGGAUUUUUAGGAAGUGGGUGUGGCUUUUCCAUCUUCACCCUUCAGGUUGGAUAAAGAGAACUCUGCAACACAAGAAGGAAAGCACCUGGGCCUGGAGUUGCCACUGGUUGUUGGGAGUUGGGCCUGGAGUUAUUGGUUAGUGGGAGAAGAGACACUGACCAACUGACCAACCAGUAACGCCUUCACUAGAUUGCUAGGUGGAUGUGGUUUAGAAAUAGUUUCAGGUGGAUAGUGGUUAUAGAGUUAAAUAGCAUUGGCUUGGAUAGACUAUUUCCUUUUUCAUCUGUUUUUUUCCUCAGUAGUGUUUUUCUACUGCGCCAGAUUUUAAUACUUCUCUAAUAUUGCUAUUCUCUCAUUUUAACAAAAAGGAUAACAGGUCCCAGGCUGCAAGUCUUCUGAUUAGCAAAAUAUAGAUUUAUUUUUAUUGUGCUUAUUUUAAGUCAUCUUUUAUUUAUGCAGUAAAUUCCUUUUCUGAUUUUAAUAAGGAAAUAAUUUUCCUUUUAAAUACAUGUAUGUUAAGGAGGAGAGUGAGUUGGUUCAAAAAUAUGUUAAGUGGGUAAUAGUAAGGUUUGUAGUUAUGAUGAAUAAAUUACUGUAGAGAUUCAUUGAUAAAUACAUUAUUAUAGAAUACUACCAUAUUUUUUCCUACAGAUUAUGGUAUUGAGAAUGAGGACUCUUCAUACAAAAUUUAUUAGUAAUAUAACCACCCUAAGAUAGUCAAAUUGUAAGGAUGAUAUAUUCUACUCUGAUAAAGUAAAUUUUAUUUAAAUCCUCAGGAUACAUUUUUUCUUUCAGCCUGUCCUCAAUUUGUUCAAUGACUUUUAUUAAAAACAACUUUAUUGGGAACCCUGGGUGGCGCAGCGGUUUAGCGCCUGCCUUUGGCCCAGGGCGCGAUCCUGGAGACCCGGGAUCGAAUCCCACGUCGGGCUCCCGGUGCAUGGAGCCUGCUUCUCCCUCUGCCUAUGUCUCUGCCUCUCUCUCUCUCUGUGUGACUAUCAUAAAUAAAUAAAAAUUAAAAAAAAACAACUUUAUUG
rnacentral:lncRNA from 1 species